AUAAGAGGCAAAACGUGCCACAUCGGACAGAAAACAACAUCUGAGAGACACAGAAUGGCUGAGAGAGAUGCAAAACGACCAAAACGUGAAACAAAAUGACUAAAAUGUGUCAGAACUGGUGUUGACAGUAAUGUUAGUGAUUAGAGACAAAUCCAGCGCAACAGACGUAUGUGUGCCUUGAUGAUGUGUGUGUCUGCAUCUCAUUUCAGAUUCCAUGCUGUUUAACCUGACCGGCCACAACGCCUCGCUGCUGCGCUGUGAGGUGAAUGUGACGCAGGACGCCGGCUUUGCUCUGACAGUCCUUCAUGGCAGCUGCAGACUCCGCAGUGUGAACUCAGCUUCAGGAGGAAACGUCUCCCCUCAACCCUAUGUCACACUUUCUGAAACCAUCGCUGUGCAGGCUGGAGGAAAAUAUGAGUGUCAGCUGCAUCUGAAGGAGGAUCUGAUAAUUAAGAGUGUCUUCCACAACAACUUGCUGGAAGGGGCUCAGACUAAUGCGACGGCAUGUUCGCCGGACAUUCCUGUGGUGGUUGGGCCAGAGUACCCCGAGCCGUGGCUGCUGUACAUGGCCCUCCUGCUGGUGCCCAUCACCGUCCUGCUCGGACUCGCAACCGCCAUGCUGAUCAGGAGAGGAGUCUGAGACGGAGGUUCGGUCUGUCAGCAGAGAAAUCACAACCAGGAUGAAACGAACGAGAGGAGAAGCAGCUCUGCAUCCCCAAACAGCGUGAAGACUGUCAGCGAUGAGGCUUCAUUUUCACUCAGGACACAGCCAGCGCUUCACAAAGAGACACAGACGAUCACACAGCGGCAAAAUGAUCAGAACGUGACACAACAUAUGACAAAAGUGAUACAAAAAGAUACAAAAACAACCAAGAUUAGACACAAAGCAACCACAGACCCAAGAGGGACGAAGACUGGCUCCAAAGAAAUCCAAAACGACUAAAAUGAAAUUCAAACAUCCACAAAGAAAGACUAAAUGGCUGUAAAGACAUACAAAAUGGUCACAAAUGAUGUAAAUGUAACACAAAAUGACCCAGUCACAAAUGUGACCAAAAAUGAUCACAAAAAGAUAAAAUUUAACCAAAAAUUGGUCAAAUGUGAAACAAAACAACCACAAAAAAGAUGCAAAAAAACACACCGAAAUUGUUCAAAUGUGAAGCAAGACGACAAAAAAAGAUGGAAAACAACCGAAAUCUGGUCAAAUGUGGAGCAAAAUGACCACAAAAAUGAGGCACAAUGACCAAAAUGUGACGUAAAACAACCACAAAAAGCUGUAAAACAACCAAAAUCUGGUGAAAUCUGACCCAAAAUUAUCACAAAAACGUAAAAAUUAAACAAAACAUUGGUCAAAUGUGAAGCAAAAUGACAAAAAAGAUGUAAAACAAUCUGAAUUGGAUUAAAUGUGAAGCAAAACACUCAAAAAAAGACAUAAAACAACCAAAAUCUGGUCAAAUGUGAAACAAUAUGACCACAAAAAUGAGGCAAAAUGACCAACAUGUGACACAAAACAACCACAAAAAGCCGUAAAUUUGAUGAAUUUCUCUUUUUCUUUGUAUCAGAACCUAAUUUGGAAAAACCAAACUGAUAAACCUCCUCCACAGACAUGUCCAGUACCAGACUUCAUUCAUAAUGCUGCCAGUUUGCACUCGCUGCUGCUGUGUCUGUAAAUAUGUAAGAGUCAGUAAAUGAAAUGUCAGCGCUCCUCUGAUGAAAGACGUUAGUGACUGAAGUUAAUCCGCUUAUUUAAAAAAUGAAGAGUGAUGCUGGAGGUACAUGAAGGUCACAGAGGGCUGAUAUUCAUUCACAUAAUGUAUCAAGUGUUAACCCUGAAUCACUUCACCUCAAAUCGUCACAUGAUUACAACAGUUUCUGCUCAGCCGUCUCUGAUUGGACAGGUUUUUUUAUGUCAUUAAAUAUGGAUGUUAAUAAGGAAAAUCUGUGAGACUUUCUGCAAUAUUGAUUUAUUUUACAGACACUGGAAAUCAGGGUCUUCUUGAACGACAAUACCUCAGAAAGUAUUUAAGAUAAAACCCUAAAAUUUUCUUUUUUUCUCAUCACGGCGCUGAUUGAGAAUCUGCAAUAAUGGACGAGGUUAUCAAAAAUUAAGUGCGUGUGGGUGAGUUAAAGUAAGAAAAACAAAAACAUCAGUCGAUAGUCUGAUCCAAGUAGUACAGAGUUCAGGAGUUUCAAAAUGGUUCUUCAAAUGUAAGUAAUAAAACAUAAUUUUUAAUAUGGGCACAUUUUUUAUUUUCCCACUUUUCAUGACGUCUUUUUUUCAUAUUUCUUCUCACCAAUAAUCAGAGAUUAUUUGAUCUACUUAUGUUACAAAUUCUAAAUCAGUGACAUUAUGAGAAAUAAGUGAUAAUUUCAUGUUUUUAUCAUUAAUAGUUCCUGAGUUAUUGUUUUUCAAACAACUUUAACCUUCCUGUUGUCCUCAUUUACGGGCACCAAAAAAUAUUGUUUCCUUGUCUGAAAAAAAUCCCAAAAUUCAGCAAAAAAAUUCCCCAAAUUUCUGAAAAUUUGCAAAACAUUCAGGAAGAAAAUUCCAAUAAUUCCUUAAAAGUUUCCCUUAAAAUUCUUGUAAAUAUUUUCAAAAAAUGAAUAAAAACCUUCCAAAAAAAUCCUAAAAAUAUCUAAAGUGAUUCCACAUAUAUCAGUAAAACUUCUAAUAUUUUGGCUUCAAAAAAAUCAACGAUUUGGUUGAUUUUUAUGUGAAUGUUCUUAAGAAACAUUUUUAACAUUUCUUUUUUUCCACCAAAAAAUGUUCAAAGAUUUCCCAAAAAUGUUGAAAAUGUGGACAUGAGAAGCUUCACUGUGAAAAUUUAUUAUUUUUCGGGUCAAUUUUGACC
ensembl:lncRNA